CCUACGGGUGGCAGCAGUCGAGAAUCAUUCACAAUGGGGGAAACCCUGAUGGUGCGACGCCGCGUGGGGGAAUGAAGGUCUUCGGAUUGUAAACCCCUGUCAUGUGGGAGCAAAUUAAAAAGAUAGUACCACAAGAGGAAGAGACGGCUAACUCUGUGCCAGCAGCCGCGGUAAUACAGAGGUCUCAAGCGUUGUUCGGAAGCACUGGGCGUAAAGCGUGCGUAGGCUGUUUCGUAAGUCGUGUGUGAAAGGCGCGGGCUCAACCCGCGUACAGCACAUGAUACUGCGAGACUAGAGUGAUGGAGGGGGAACCGGAAUUCUCGGUGUAGCAGUGAAAUGCGUAGAUAUCGAGAGGAACACUCAUGGCGAAGGCGGGUUCCUGGACAGUAACUGACGCUGAGGCACGAAGGCCAGGGGAGCGAAAGGGAUUAGAUACCCUAGUAGUC
rnacentral:rRNA from 1 species